CUCCGAUCGAAGGCCGCUGCAAGCUGCUGUCAACUGGAAGCUCGCCCGCGCGGGAUCGUUCGCUCGCUCGCUCGCUCGCCGGAGGAUCGGGGGAGGAUGUCGGCCUACCGGUGGAAGAGCUUCGCGGAGGACGAGGACCGCCCCGAGAAGCCCCGGCGGCACGGCGUCACGGAGAUCAGGGGCCCUCACUACUCCUUCCUCAACCAGAACCUCCUCCAGGAUAUUUUCGAGUCGAUGGGGCCAUUUGUCGAUGGGUUGAAGUUCUCCGGGGGCUCGCACAGUCUGAUGCCCAAGUCUUUUGUCAAGGAGAUUACCGAUAUAGCGCACGAGCAUAACGUGUAUGUAAGCACCGGGGAUUGGGCCGAGCAUUUGCUGCGCCAGGGUCCGUCGGCUUUCAAAGAAUAUGUUCAGGAGUGUAAGCAGUUGGGGUUCGACACGGUCGAGCUAAAUGUCGGGACUCUGGAAAUCCCAGAAGACACUCUGCUGAGAUUCGUGCGAACUGUUAAGAGUGGUGGUCUUAGAGCCAAGCCACUGUUUGCAGUGAAGUUUAACAAAUCUGACAUCCCUAGAGCUGGUGAUAGAGCCUUUGGGGCAUAUGUAGUUCCAGAGCCUCGAAGUUCCGAAUUCAUCGAAGAUGUUGAUCUCUUGAUCAGAAGGGCAGAGAGAUGCUUGGAAGCUGGGGCAGACAUGAUAAUGAUAGAUCCUGAUGAUGUCUGCGAUGCUGAUGCUGUCCGAUCAGACAUUAUCGCGAAGAUUGUAGGACGUCUAGGUCUUGAGAAAACCAUGUUUGAAGCAUCAAAUGCUAGAACCUCGGAGUGGUUCAUCCAACGCUAUGGUCCCAGGGUUAACCUUUUUGUCGAUCACUCUCAAGUCAUGGAUUUGGAGUGUCUCAGAGGGCGCAAGCUGGGUAAAAACCAUUCAUCGGUUCUUGGAUCCUCCUACUUUCUGUUCUGAAUAGGAGAUUGUAAAGAUCUUAACCAUGUUCUGCAAUCGAAAGUGCAGAAGUAGUAGAUAAGUUUGUCUAUUGAUAUGGAAGAAGGAAAGCUUAAUUUAAAAGACCACCCGGGGCCAACCAAGACGAUGUCAGUCACCAAGUCUCUCUUCAGCUGUAAGUGUACCGGCCCUUUUCUCUCUUAAUGGGUUUUUCCAUUGUACGAAGGGCAGUCAUUCCCAGAAGUCCGAAAUCGAUCCAAGGAGCUACUAGUCGUCCCUUUCAUAUAUCAUGGGGGCCAUCCGCCAAGAAAGAAUAUAAGUUUAGAGGUAGUUCUCUAUCGUAGUUUUAGCCCGCACUGGUUCGCGUUUCAUGCGUUUUGUAAUAUUAUAAGACGCGUUUGCAUACUUUUGUCAUUCGUUAACACAUCUGUUCACAAACAUCUGCAUGUGCACUUCUAGGCAUAGAAUGAUUGGUCAGAUCGCUUUUGUUCUUGUGGUUGACCAGUAUAGUUGUUCUGCUCGAUAGCGUCUGUUCUCCUAUAACAUUAGUGUCAUUAGUAAGGGGCUGCCGCCAGAUAUUUUGUUCCUUCUACCUUUCCUGCGCCUGCUUAUGGUGUGCCGUUUUUGGUCUAACGGAGGUGGUACUUGUGCUUACCAUUACUCAGAUCAAGAAUGAUUACUGGCCGCCCUAGCACUAGAAGAACAAUUGGGUUGGGACAAGUAGCAGUUUAGAUUAAUCCAGCAACCCUGAUCAUCGGAAACUAUUUUCUCCGUUAACGAACGGCUGUUUUCUUGAGUACAAUGACUAGGUGGACCGCACGACUGGGUCGUGCAUGCAGGAAUGUGUCGUCCUGAUCAAAUGAACAAAGAACAUGACAAUUCAACUCUCUCCCUACAAAGAAGAAGCGGAGGAAUCUGAGCAUGUGCUCCAUCCAUCUGUUCUUGAUGGCGAGUAAAGGCAUUACUGGUAAGGAAUCUAUUUCUCAGAAGUCUAGACCGAUUACCCUCAACUUCUGAUUGAGCAGAGGCUGGUUUCGUAUACUCUACUUCUCUUGCUAUUUGGAUAAUAUCUCUGAAUCACUAUAGUCCUUAAGAUUGGGUAUAAACUAACAAGGCAGGCCCUAGUCUGCUCCUGAUCAGUGCCGUUCGACGCGCAGAGACGAGUCAUCCGAGCUUCCGUCUCAUGCGUGAAAGAGUCGCAUUUCAAAUUCGACCGAGUAGAUGGGACUGAGUCUAAGGGCGUUGAAACGUCGAGCGAGCCGACACAAGUUUUCCAAUGAAUGGAUGACUACGUCAAUCAAUCCGAAAGAUGCAAACAAAAACGUUAGGAAGCUCGAGUGGGACUUCAACGAUUAAGUAACGCAAGAAAACAAACUUAGUUGCGAUGUGGUUAUGGCGUAACCAGGUGACAACUAGAGACUGUUUUGGCUUUUGUAAGGGGGGGCCUGUCCGUGAGAUGCUGACCAGCAGGUUGUUGGUGAUCCUUUGGGUCUACGCUAAGCUGCUACCCCGUUUGUCGUUGAUUUAGAAUGUCCCCUUGUCACAUGUUAAGGAAUACCCCACUUAACGAUGUAUAUGCACGUUCUACAAUCAACUUGGUGAAAACACAUUAGCCGUAAUCGAGUUUAUAGCUUC